CCCUUAGAUGUUCUGGGCCGCACGCGCGCUACACUGAUGCAUUCAACGAGCCUAUCCUUGACCGACAGGUCCGGGUAAUCUUUGAAUCUGCAUCGUGACGGGGAUAGAUUAUUGCAAUUAUUAAUCUUCAACGAGGAAUGCCUAGUAGGCGCAAGUCAUCAGCUUGCGUCGAUUACGUCCCUGCCCUUUGUACACACCGCCCGUCGCUCCUACCGAUUGAACGUUUUAGUGAGGUAUUUGGACUGGGCCUUGGGAGGUUUCGGCCUCCCUUGUUGCUCGGAAAGACUCCCAAACUUGAGCGUUUAGAGGAAGUAAAAGUCGUAACA
rnacentral:rRNA from 1 species